GACGAACGCUGGCGGCGUGCUUAACACAUGCAAGUCGAACGGCAAGGCUCCAGCUUGCUGGGGUACACGAGUGCCGAACGGGUGAGUAACACGUGUGUGACCUGCCCUGCACUUCGGGAUAAGCCUGGGAAACUGGGUCUAAUACCGGAUCGGACCGCACCGUGAGGGUGAGGCGGGAAGUUUUUGCGGCUUGGGCUGGGCCCGCGGCCUAUCAGCGUGUUGGUGGAGUAAUGGCCUACCAAGGCGGCGACGGGUAGCCGGCCUGAGAGGGUGGACGGUCACAAUGGGACUGCGACACGGACCAGACUCGUACGGGAGGCAGCAGUGGGGAAUAUUGCACAACGGGCGGAAGCCUGAUGCAGAGACGCCGGGUGGGGGAUGACGGCCUUCGGGGUGUAAACAGCUUUCACCUUCGACGAAGCGUUUCUGACGGUAGAUGAAGAAGAAGCACCGGCUAACUACGUG
rnacentral:rRNA from 1 species